rnacentral:rRNA from 1 species
AUACCCCAUAGACUAUGGAUGCUGGAAUGCUCUGUAGCCGAAAGGUCCGCCGCUGGAGGAUGGGUCUGCGGCCGAUUAGGUUGUUGUUGGGGUAACGGCCCAACAAGCCUGUAAUCGGUACGGGUUGUGGGAGCAAGAGCCCGGAGAUGGAUUCUGAGACACGAAUCCAGGCCCUACGGGGCGCAGCAGGCGCGAAAACUUUACAAUGCGGGAAACCGUGAUAGGGGAACUCCGAGUGCCCGUUAAAUCGGGCUGUCCAUCGGUUUAAAUAACCGGUGAAGAAAGGGCCGGGCAAGACCGGUGCCAGCCGCCGCGGUAAUACCGGCGGCUCGAGUGGUGGCCACUAUUACUGGGCUUAAAGCGUUCGUAGCUGGUUUGUUAAGUCUCUGGGGAAAUCUUCCGGCUCAACCGGAAGGCGUCUCAGGGAUACUGGCAGACUAGGGACCGGGAGAGGUGAGAGGUACUCCAGGGGUAGGAGUGAAAUCCUGUAAUCCUUGGGGGACCACCUGUGGCGAAGGCGUCUCACCAGAACGGCUCCGACAGUGAGGGACGAAAGCUGGGGGAGCAAACCGGAUUAGAUACCCGGGUAGUCCCAGCUGUAAACGAUGCGCGUUAGGUGUAUCGGUGACCACGAGUCACCGAGGUGCCGAAGAGAAAUCGUGAAACGUGCCGCC